rnacentral:rRNA from 1 species
UACGAAGGGGGCUAGCGUUGUUCGGAAUUACUGGGCGUAAAGCGCACGUAGGCGGCUGCUCAAGUCGAAUGUGAAAACUCGAGGCUCAACCUCGAGCCUGCAUUCGAUACUGGGCGGCUAGAGUCUGGUAGGGGGAUCUGGAAUUCCUGGUGUAGCGGUGGAAUGCGCAGAUAUCAGGAGGAACACCGGUGGCGAAGGCGGGAUCCUGGGCCAGUACUGACGCUGAGGAGCGAAAGCGUGGGGAGCAAACAGG